CCGCCAGGGGCACGGCUGGUUAGCUACGUUCGGAUGGGAUAACCGCUGAAGGCAUCUAAGCGGGAAGCCCGUUCCAAGAUGAGGUCUCCCACCCCGCGAGGGUUAAGGCCCCCACCAGACCAGUGGGUUGAUAGGCCGGAAGUGGAAGCGCAGCAAUGCGUGCUCGAGCUAACCGGUACUAAUCGGCCGAGGGCUUGUCCA
rnacentral:rRNA from 1 species